rnacentral:rRNA from 1 species
AUUGAACGCUGGCGGCAUGCCUUACACAUGCAAGUCGAACGGCAGCACGGGAGCAAUCCUGGUGGCGAGUGGCGAACGGGUGAGUAAUAUAUCGGAACGUGCCCAGUCGUGGGGGAUAACGUAGCGAAAGCUACGCUAAUACCGCAUACGAUCUAUGGAUGAAAGCGGGGGAUCGCAAGACCUCGCGCGAUUGGAGCGGCCGAUAUCAGAUUAGGUAGUUGGUGAGGUAAAGGCUCACCAAGCCGACGAUCUGUAGCUGGUCUGAGAGGACGACCAGCCACACUGGGACUGAGACACGGCCCAGACUCCUACGGGAGGCAGCAGUGGGGGAAUUUUUGGGACAAUGGGCGCAAGCCUGAUCCAGCAAUGCCGCGUGCAGGAUGAAGGCCUCGG